rnacentral:rRNA from 1 species
UAGUGAUUAACGCGAAGAACCUUACCUGGGCUAGACAACGGCGGACCGUCCUAGAAAUAGGACUUUCCCUUCGGGGACUGCCGGUUCAGGUGCUGCAUGGCUGUCGUCAGCUCGUGCCGCGAGGUGUUGGGUUAAGUCCCGCAACGAGCGCAACCCUCGUCCUUAGUUGCCACCAUUCAGUUGGGCACUCUAGGGAGACUGCCGGCGUUAAGCCGGAGGAAGGUGGGGACGACGUCAAGUCAUCAUGGCCCUUAUGUCCAGGGCCACACACGUGCUACAAUGGGCGGUACAAAGGGUCGCAAACCCGCGAGGGGGAGCUAAUCCCAAAAAGCCGCUCUCAGUUCGGAUUGGAGUCUGCAACUCGACUCCAUGAAGUUGGAAUCGCUAGUAAUCGCGGAUCAGCACGCCGCGGUGAAUACGUUCCCGGGCCUUGUCACACCGAAUCGAAUUC